rnacentral:rRNA from 1 species
AACGAACGCUGGCGGCAGGCUUAAGACAUGCAAGUCGAACGCCCCGCAAGGGGAGUGGCAGACGGGUGAGUAACGCGUGGGAACAUGCCCCAAGGUACGGAACAACUUCGGGAAACUGAAGCUAAUACCGUAUGUGACCGAGAGGUGAAAGAUUUAUCGCCUUGGGAUUGGCCCGCGUAAGAUUAGCUAGUUGGUGGGGUAAUGGCCUACCAAGGCGACGAUCUUUAGCUGGUCUGAGAGGAUGAUCAGCCACACUGGGACUGAGACACG